rnacentral:rRNA from 1 species
ACACGACUACAUUAGAUACCCGUGUAGUCCUAGCCGUAAACGAUACUCGCUAGGUGUCGGCCACGGUGCGACCGUUGUCGGUGCCGUAGGGAAGCCGUGAAGCGAGCCACCUGGGAAGUACGGCCGCAAGGCUGAAACUUAAAGGAAUUGGCGGGGAGCACCACAACGCGUGGAGCCUGCGGUUUAAUUGGAUUCAACGCCGGAAAUCUUACCGGGACCGACAGCAACAUGAAGGCCAAGCUGAAGACUUUGCCGGAUUAGCUG